CUCCAUUACAUGGGACCAACCCUCUGACUAUGGUUCUGGAGUCCAAAAAUUUGAAAUCAGUUUUUGGGCCAAGAUUAAGAAGUUGGCAAGGACACACUGCUAACAGAUGCCCAAACAGACCAAGGCACCAAGCUGCAAAGAUGAAGGAG